UUAAAGUUCUAUUCGACAACGGGGUCGAGGGUAUUUAUAGACCUUCUCUGGAUAAUGCGAGACUAGUCAAUAUGUCUCAUAUGUCGACACGUGUCGUAAUCCUCACCACAAAACACGCUCUCCAUACGGGAAAACGCUUUCUACGCAUAUAAUAGCAUUAGAAUGUAAAGAUAUCAAUCAGCCGUAAUCUGGUCAAAGUUGCAGCUCUGCAUGUCCGUCACGUGUCUCUCUUUAAUUUUGUUGUCACGGCCAGGAACUCUGACAAGCAUCCACGUAAUUGCCUGCGUACUUAUAAAAAGCUUGUUGGACUUUUAGCCAUAAACGGCUCCAUAUAUAUGAAUCUAUAUCAAUCUAUUAUCGACUCAGUAAUGGAACCGGUCGAUUUGGUUAAACCAGCUCCCAGCUAUUAGAAAAGGUUUAAGUCGAACUAUUACAGCCGUUAAGUCGCGCCGUUUAAGAAGCCCUGACUCGAACAUUUUGCUCCCUAAUUAUAGCUUUUCGAAGAACAUUACUUGAAAGUUGAAACUGAAAGCACACCAAGUCAAAAGGAUACAAUACACAACAAGAGAUAUUCAAUGACAAGCUU